UACGUAGGGGGCAAGCGUUGUCCGGAAUCAUUGGGCGUAAAGCGCGUGUAGGCGGCCCGAUAAGUCCGCUGUGAAAGUCCAGGGCUCAACCCUCGAAUGCCGGUGGAUACUGUCGGGCUAGAGUGCGGAAGAGGCGAGUGGAAUUCCUGGUGUAGCGGUGAAAUGCGCAGAUAUCAGGAGGAACACCUAUUGCGAAGGCAGCUCGCUGGGACGUAACUGACGCUGAGACGCGAAAGCGUGGGGAGCAAACAGG
rnacentral:rRNA from 1 species